ACGAUGACUUUCCCAAACUCGUAAAAAGAUAUUCGAGCAAAACGUUUAUUUCUCUCUCUCUCUCUCUUUAUCUAUCUAUUUUCUUGUUUUCAUUCCUGUCGUGGAUGGCUCUUUUUUUCCUUUUUCCUCCAUCGCGUUCUGACCCCCUCAACGUCCGUGCUCGAGCAUCUUCUUCCAUUAAUAUCUUUUGCCCGUUCUCGACCGGAGCUGCCUUUUCUUUCUUGGGAUGAACGGCUUGUGUAGACACACAACACCAACCAUCGCCGAUAGGUUUUAAUGGACAGUUAAACGAGUUCGGAGGGGGGUAGGCCAUAUAACGAUGGGAGAAAAAAAGAAAGAAAAAAAAAAAAAAAAACAAAAAUGAGAGAGUUUCGAAGAGAAGGGCGCCGAUAGAAGGAGGUGUGUUAAAAAAAGUUUGGAAAAAUCUAUAAUAAAAGAAACAUAAUGAUCCCGGCGAAGGUGAAAGAAGUCAACACCCAACACGAACUAAUAAAUAAUCAACAAGGCCCCGCAACACUAUGCUGGAUGGUGUCUUACGUGUCUGCCUAUAUCUAGGAAAUAUGGAGGGUUAGAAAUAAGAAAAAAACUUAAACAAACGCAAAGUGAAAAGAAAAGAGAAAGAAACAAGUCUUCGUCUUUUUCCGCUGGAUUGUGUGUAUGUACGUUUGGCCGUGUUUUAUGGAGAAAGUUUUUGAUGCAACUAUAGUUUCUCUAUUUUUCUUGUUCCCCCGUUUUUAAUCUUUCGUUUGCGGCCUGUUGCAUAACACUUUGGUCUUUUGUAUAUAUAUAUAUACUGUACGACUGGCGUCUGCACUCACGAAACGAUGGAUGGGCGUCGUGGAGAAAAGCGGAAAUAGCACCCAAAACGCCAUCGUCGGGAUGACCUGGCUGGCACGCAGCGGCACCGAUUGCAAUGCACAAACAAUAACGUGAUUGGCCGUCUCUUUUUGUUGAUUUAUAUACGCGCAACGGCAUUGAAAGCCGACGUGUCGGGAAACGGGCCGAUCAACCUUGAUAGUUUGUUCCAGUUUUCAUCACGAUUUGCAUCCGAGAUAUGUAGGAGCAGAUGAAAUUCAUUGCACGCCCACCGCGUGUUGCGCGGUGCUUUCAGCACGCGGCAUCGAAUUCAUACGUCACGCAAGAGAGGCGCCUCUGAUUUUGAAAAAUAAUAGAAAAAAAUAAAACACAAACAGAAAAUAUAAAUCAAUAAAUAACGCACACACGAAGGAAGGAAGAAGUAAUCGAAUAAAAGAAUCACUUGGCAUCUUCCAAAAGGAAAAAAAAAAAAACCUUCUCCGUUCAAUACGA